rnacentral:lncRNA from 1 species
GGAAAGCACAUGUGCUGAGCCCACAAAAAAAUUUGGCCUAGGCUAAAGUUUGCUACAUUUGGGCUAGUUGGAAGGCUAAAGGGCCAAAUGUGGCCCUCCAAUUUGGCAAAAAAAAAAAAUUUAACUCAUGGCUGGAGAUGGGUUUUGCAUUAUUUUAGGGCUAUAUUUGGCCUAUGACCCAUAACUGGAGAUGGCCUUAGCCCUCCAACCGGGCCACAUUUAGCCCAGCUUUGGCCUAGGCCAAAUUUUUU